AUGCCGCAGUUCAUCCCUGGGCAGCCUUUCAUCCCCAUGCAGCCGCUCGCCCCGAUGCAGCCAGUUGUUCUGAUGCCCUUGCAUCCUCCAGAAAGAGAUUAUCUGCUGCUAGCCAUCAUAUCCUUCUUCUUCUACAUCCUGCUGGCAAUCCCCGCUCUGGUGUUCUCUCUCAAGCGGCACGGUGGCGGUGCGGUGGCUACGAGGGCAGGGACCCUGGGGCCCCAUGCCAAGGAUGUUGCGGCUGCAGCUGUGGUGCGUUUCUAUUCCAAGGACAAUGGAGGCAGCUGGUUUCGCUCCCUCUUUGCUCACAAGGUGGAUCCCCGAAGGAUGCCCACUCCACCCUGCUGUCCAAAAAGGAAACUAGUAACCUCUACAAGAUCGUUUCACAGUGUAAUGCACGGAUACCUAGACGUCUACAACAGCCUAAUGGCGGCUGUGCUGCCCAAGCUGCACCUGGACAAGGACUACCCCUGCUCACUUGUGGGCAACGGGAACACGUGGCAUGGGGAGCAGGACCAGGCAGUGUACCUGUGGUGAUUCUCAGGUGGCUACCCAGCCCUCAUGGACUGCAAGAACAAGCUCAAAAAGAAUAAGGAGUACCUGCAGUUCCAAAGGGAGUGGAGCCAGGUGCUGCUGUCCAGGAGAAACCAGUUGCUCCUCAAGUUCAGCUUCUGGAACAAGCCACAGCCCACAGUGGGUCCCAACAUCUAUGAGCUGAGGACAUACAAGCUCAAGCCGGGAACCAUGAUUGAUCUGAGAACAACUGGGCUCGGGCCUUCAAGUACCGGCAGGAGAACCAGGAGGCAGUGGGCGGCUUCUUCUCACAGGUAGGAGGGCUCUACGUGGUGCCCAUCUCUGGGUCUAUAAAGACCUGCAGCCUCGGGAGGAGACUAGAAACGCUGCCUGAAGGAAGAGGCUGGGAUGAAAAUGUCUACUAUACAGUCUCCCUGGUGCAACACAUGGAGUCUCGGAUCAUGAUCCCCUUGAAGAUUUCACCUCUCCAGUGAUGCUGCCUUCACCUCCACCUCUGACCCCUUCUCCCUCAGGGCAACCCAAGACAGUGGUGCUCCUGGUUCUGCUGUCUUGGUUUUGUCUGGGCUCUGAGAAGACCCUGAGGAGCAGUGCUCAGCUCAGACAAGGGGAACUGAAGGAAGACAAGUUCUGAGGAUUUACAGCUCUGCCCACGCCCUUUCCACCUUCCCUGCCUGCCUCCUUCCCGCUGCUAGAAGUAGUUUCUAAUUUCCCUGAAUGAAGGAUGGCGAUCUUUUAGGCCUUCUUAUAUCUCCUAAGAUUCCUCAUCUCAAGGCUACCAGUCCCCAGUUAUCUUCCAUUUAGCUUGCACACAGGGUACCAUGUCCAGUGGCUACAGGUGGGGUGGGAAGAGAGGAGGCCAGGCCAGGCCCUCAGGAAUUCCCUGGUCUCCACUGGACCACCCACUUGCUAGACAGUCUGAGCCAAGUCCCUCCUGCUGGACAGAAGCCUGGAACCGCCAAAAACAAAACAAAACAACAAAAAAACACCUCAUCAGCAUGGUCAGGAGGAGGUCCAGACAUUUCAUCCAGAGGGGCUGGGGAAAGGGAUGGGAGCCAGGAAGGAUUUAGGGGAGGAGACAGACACGUAACAGGAACUCAGAAGGUAGGACUUAGAAUUCAGAACUUGGGCUUCAGCUGCAGAAUUUGGAACCUGGAAUAGAGAAUUGGAAAGAAAGAACAGAGAUGACAGAAGACCACUUGAAGAGAGGUUCCUAAUACUAGACAGAGAGUGGCUUGGCUGUUUCCCCCUACAUAUUGGGGCUGAGAACUUAAAAGUGUAGUUCCACUCCUACGCAGAAAGUCUCUCCUGCCCUCCCUCCUUCCUGCAGGCAAAUGUACAGGCCAGGGCCUGUUCCCUCACCCUAUGUUACCUCUCCUCUACUUGACAUUCUGUCAGCCCAACCCUCAUUCUGCGGGGCCACCUGGUGUGUGGAAGGGGAUCAGUGACUCUGGGGGUCUCCUCAGUGACCCCCAUAUCUCAUCAUGAACCCUUGGGUAGCUUGAUUCUGCCUCCCAUCCAGGAAAACUUCUGCUGGAGUUGCUGAUGGAACCCAUUAAAUAUUUAGUAUA